UCAGGGGUUUGCACAAGCCAAUGGGGACCAGGGAGUGGGAUGUGGUGGUUUGCAUAUCCUUUGGCCCUUGGGAAGUGCUACUAUUAGCAAGUGUGACCUUGUUGGAGGAAGUGCAUCACUGUGGGAUGGGCUUUGAAGUCACCUAGUACUCAAACUUCUGCCCCGGGGGAAGAGAGUCUUUUCCUUGCUACCUUCAGGUCAAGAUGUAGAACUCUCAGCUCCUCCAGUGCCAUGUCUGCCUGGAUGCUGCCAUGCUUUCCACCAUGAUGAUAACAGACUUAACCUCUGGAUCUAUGAAGAAGAUGAAGUCAAGAAAGGACAAAUGACAUGGUUCACAAAGGUGUUUCUGUAUCAACAAUAGAUUACUCAGCUGUCCUAAACUGAAAUACUGUAUGCCUGGAUUCUUCAUUUUAUUAAGUCUGCUUUGAGGCAUUUCCAGUGCACAGUCCUCAUAAUAAAUAUAAUAAUAAGUUCUUCUUGACAUUCAAGCAACUAAAUCCUGAUGUUGGACCCCAAGGAAAGCAGGAAGCUUUGGAACCCACGGGAGAAGGGUGAUUCUCGUCGUCUGUCUCACCUGGGCCAGGCAGGCCGGAGGACCUGCAAGAGUCAGAAGUGUAUAGCGGAAAAGCACAGACUAUCCCCGACACAGAGCUGACUCUCCUUGGGAACCGACAGUGAGCAUUACUCAGCCCCUGGAAAGAGGCCUUUUCUGCAGCCAGGCAAGGAAAGCCCAGGAAAACCUCACUCAACUUGAUAUUGAACUUGCCAGGAGUGUUGAAGCAGAAAAGAUGUUUAAUGUGGCUUUAUGCUUUGAUCGUGCAGACAGGCAGAGACCCAUGGAAUCCUGAAGCCAAGAGACUUCGAAACAUCCUGCUCUCUUCCUAAUGCUCCGAUUCCUUGGUGCACCACAGCCAACAUGUGCAUCUGUGGCCAUGUUCUCUGUCUUUCAAGAAGACUGUCCAGGACCUCAGAUCACCUCCCCCUCUUCCUCUCAUCCAGAGUGCCAGUCAUUGUGGAGCACCUCCAGGAUACAAAGAGGACUAAAUCCCAGCAUCAGGAGAAAAUUGUUGGCACAAAGUUUAGUGUCCAGAGCAAAGCUAUGAGAAGCAUAUGGGAGACACAUUGCCAAGACUACAAGCCCUAGCGAAAACACAGGGUUUGGAAGCAGGACAGUCCUGUUGACUACAGUAAAGUCUUAGUCAGGGUUUCUGUCGAUCUUACGAAACACCGAAACACUGUGGACCAGAGUCAAUUUGGGGAGGAAGAAUUUACUUUAUCUCACACUUCCAGGCCAUAGUUUAUCUCUGAGGGAAGUAGUCAGGGUGGGAACUCGAGGCAGGAACUUAGAGGCAGGAGCUGACGCAAAGGCCUUGGAGGAACGCUGCUUACUGGAUUUCUUCUCACGGUUUGUGCAACCUACAUUCUUAUAGACUUACAGACCACCGGCCCCGGGGUUACAACCUCUGCAAGCUGGGUUCUUCCCACAUCCAUCAGCAACCAAGAAAAAUGUGCCACAGGCUUGCCCACAGGCUAGUCUGAUAGGAGCAUUUUCUUAGUUGAGGUUCCCGUCAUGGCUUGUGUCACAUUGACAUAAAACUUGCCAGUACACUAGAUGUUCAGAAGGAUCUGGGAGUAUAGGUGCUGCACACAAGAUUAUGUUUGGGGUGAAACAAAAGCUAAGAUUUUUUAAAGUGUCAUUUUGAGAGUGGAAAGAAUGAAUUUAGUUUCUAGAGGAAGAAAGUAACUCGGGCAAGACUCCGCUGAAGGGAAUUUUGGGGCUCUGAUGGUGCCUAUGGAGAGAUAGGCAUGGUUAGAUAGAUACAGGAGGGGAGGAAGGACUUACAGUUGGAAAACGGGCAAGCAGGAUAUUUUAGGGCGCCUGAGUGGCCGCGAAGAGACUCAGGAGAUAGCCAGGAGUCACAGGAAGCUCUCGAGCACUCAGAAGGUGUGACUGUAGUUUACUCUAGGUAUCAUGUAGAAACUCAUGAUAGCAUCAGGGACACAGGAAGAACUGAGGCCUGGGGUGUGGACGCCUCUGUGUCUCAACAGUUAGGGCAGGCUUUGUGCUGAGAGACCUUCCUCUCCAGCUUUCUGUCUUGAAUCCAGGACUUCAAGCAAUGCUGGGUCUUUGAGGUAUGUCUGAAGAGCUGGUCACACUUCCCUCAGGCGAGGACGGGAGCAAUUUUGAUUCAUUUCUCUUUUUAAUUUGAGUUCAGAAGGGGAACUAGAAGCCCAGGCUUCUGUUUUGUGUACUCACAGGCAUGCCUCCUCCCCCUCCACACACACAUAUUGAAAGGGAAAGAUACUAUGAUGCAGCCUCUUCUCCGAGAGUCCGUCUUUGGUAAGGUGUUCACUGUCCACAUGCCCACACUUGCCUCAUGUCCACUGAGAGCAGAGCUGUAGCACACACUUCCACUUUGUUUACACCAUGCUCUUCCCUUCCUUCCCUGUGGUAUACUUCUUGCCUCCCUGUGGUGAUACCUCCACACCUAGAAGCCAUGGGGCCUCUGCAGAGUUGAGCUGUGUUGGAAGGGGCACAGGGAUAACUUGCUCUAGAAGAUAGCAAUGAAAUGUUCCUGAUAUUUCUCACUGCCCAGCACUUCCAGCUCAGCAGUGGGAUUAUGAUCUUGAGUUUGGUCCCUAUAUGUGGACAAAAGGAUGCUCUGAACCUUGGUAGCCACAUUGAUUGCCAUCAAAUUUCUUCCCUGGAGUUUCAGGCACUGUCUCUAUACUAGAGGCCAUGGUUAUUAUGUUCAUUAUGGAUUUGUAGGUGACAAUGAAUCUAGUUCUCUUUAAAGGCAUUAUGUGAUUGUUUUAUGGUGCAGUGCUUCCAUAAUUGUAAAGAGAGAAUCUCAACUGGUCAUCAUUAACAUGAUGAUUGAGGUAUCAUAGGUAAAACAAUUUGGGGGGUAUUCCUUUUCUUAAUUUUUGUACCCCCAUUUAUGAUGUCAACUGGCUAGUCUCAGCCUCAAACCCAAGAGAAAGUCUUUGACAAAUCUCCCCUGAACAUUUUCAUUCAUUUGGGUUGAUUUCAUCUAACUGUUAAUUUAUUAUUCAUGUACUUAUCCAACUUAGUAAUGGAUAGUUUAAAACCUCAAAAUGUAGAAGGCCAAUUCAGUGUAUUCUCUUUUUUCCUCUUUGCCCUUUUGCUUCCUUCCAAAAGCAGUUCACAUCUGCAUUUUCUAGAGCAUAGCUGUCUGGGAUGUUUUCCUCAAGCUGAUCAUCAGCGCUAUCCUAAUCCAUCUUACGCAGGAAGAAGCAGAACUAUUCAUACAGACUUUGCUGGGGGCAUUUGUUCUCACUGUUUUGUUUUUCUCCUCAGAGUGCAAAAACCCUGCUUCUAAACACCAGAAGGCUUUACCAAGUGCAAGCAAACCCAGAGAGACCCCUGACUCCUAGCCUGACCCCACUUGAAGAUUACCUGAGGGUACUGAGCUCUCUGUGUGCAAUGAUACUUAAAUGCUGCUUCAUUCCAUCUCUUAGAGGACUCUCAGGCUGAGCCAAAUGAGGACUAUGCUCUUAGUUUUUGUGUCAAUUCUGCAAGAUCUAGGGUGUCUCCUGAUAUAGUUGUAUAUCAUGAUGAAGUCAUAGUGUUCUCUUUUUCAGGUUAUAUUUCUUUAGCUUUCCAUGGCAGGACUGAAGUGGAUCUUAUUUGUUCUAGUCCAAACUGUACAGACCUGGGAUAUUUUGACCUUGCUUGCACUACUGAUGCUGGCCACCUUUCCAGGGAUGCCUUGCUUUCCCGUUACACUGGAGCCUUUCUUGCUCACUGGCGACGCUGGGGCAUUCUGUUGCUCCUCAGUAGAAUCAGGAGCUACACCUUCUCAGAGAGGACCAGGAUUCAUCAUUUCCGGAGGCUCUCCUCUGCGCAUGCUGGGAAGGGCAUCUAAGGCCUAUUUGGUAAAGGAGUCUCUUCCAAACAGAAAAGAUGCAGCGAAAGCUGGUACCGUCUUCCUGGAGAAAACCCACCCUGAGUAACCCUCAUUAGAGCCUCUAUAUUCUGGCUUGCUGACCUUGAAUUUCCAGUCUCUAGAAAGAGAAGCAAAACAACUGGGACUCUGAGAAAGGGAGAAGCUGCUUCCAGCCACAUCACUGGUUAGAGAUGGUAUGACAUCAGAAGCCAAACCUGAGCUGCACGUCACACUGCCAGCGGCUCUGGGAACCUCAUCACGCAUUGGGCGUGGCAUGCAUUCAAUAAAUUCAUCCCAUGCUGUAGAUGUGCUUAAGUUUUCUCUGUGGCUGUGUCAAAGAGUACAGGAGGAAGCAUUUCUUCUUACCCCAGGACCUGACUUGUAAUCAAACUCAGAUUGGACAGAAAAAAAAUGUAUAUACAUGAAGUGGAAUAUUACCCAUCCAUCACAAGAAAAGUGCUACAACAGCAAAGACACUGAAAGGAUUACACCCAGAACUCCAGACUCAAAGCCACUGUAAUCUAUGAUUCUAUUCACAUGAAAUGUUGAUAUGAGUAAAUCCAUGACAAGAGAAAAUAGAUGGGUAUUGAUAGUCUUAGAAGAGGAAGAGAUUGGCCAUACUAUAGACAAGGAUGAAAACAGUAACUGUCCAGGAACUGGUGGAUCUGUAACUGUGGUGCUUUGGACAGGAAUGAACCCCAUAGACUAAUGUGAUUGGAUGCUUGGCCCAUAGGGAGUGGCAUUAUUAGGAGGUGUGGUUUGCAGGGGAGUGGUGGCACACACCUUUAAUCCCAGCACUUGGGAGGCAGAGGCAGGCGGAUUUCUGAGUUCAAGGCCAGCCUGGUCUACAGAGUGAGUUCCAGGACAGCCAGAGCUAAGAGAAACCUUGUCUUGAAAAACAAAACAAAACAAAACACAAUAAAAAUGAGGUGUGGUUUGGAGGAGGUAUGGCCUUGUUGGAGGAAGUGUGUCAUUGUAGAGGCGGGCUUUGGGGUCUUACAUGCUUAAACUAAGCCUAGUGUCAGUCUCCUGCUGCCUGUGGAUCAAGAUGUAGAACUGUCACCUUUUUCUCUAGCCCCACAUCUGCCUGCAUGCUGCUAUGCUUCUGCCAUAAUGAUGAUAGACUGAACCUCUGAAUCUGUAAGCCAACUCCAGUUAUGUUUUCUUUUACAAGAGUUGCUAUGGUCAUGGUGUCUCUUCACAGCAAUGAAAACCCUAAGAUAGCAACAGAGUGAUGCACUGAAUGACAUUGAACUGUGUAUCUUAAAAAGAUUAACUGUUAUAUGGAUUUCACCAUAGCCUAAAGCCAAUGAAGAGACCCAGGAACUGAAAGUGAGAAAUCAGAGCUGUGCUUUUCCUCUUUCCAUAGUGAGCCUCAGACUUCCUUGCACGUCUGGAAAUCAUGAUGCUAUGUCACUGAGCUCUGACACAUGCAGUUCCUGAUCCCACUUACAGUUGUAUGGGCUCUGGGAGGUUUACGCCUCUUUCUGGAUUUUAUUUCUCCAUCUGCAAGAGGAGCACAUUAUCCAGACUGUACCCAAAGCUCAUUCCAGAAAAUCGUCAGAAGAUCCUGGGACCAGAAGUAGGAAGAUUACACGGGAAGAGGAAGUGUUUUGUGGGAUUCUGGGGAACCUUCUGUUUCCAGCACAUAGGGCCUGGGACUGUCAAUAUCCUGUCCCCAGGUCCCAGAGAAUAGUCUUGGAGAACUGUCUCAGCUCCUGACCUUGUUGGCAAGGCCAGGGAUCCCUCCCACUGUGCAUCAACUGCAGGGUAAGCCCUCUGGUAAUCCUGCUACACACUGAGUCAUUCAAUACCUCCCAAAUGCCUUCCUGUGGUGACCCAGCAGGGAGAUCAGCCCCAGACAGAUCACUGAGACAUGAUCUGAAGCAAAAGCAGCGGUUUCAACAUUUAUGGAACUUUACAUUGGGAAGUGAUUGGGAACUCAUCACACAUACAGCAGUGUGCAGUGUUGAAGUGGGAACAGUUCACCAUGGGCUCAUUCUUUCACUGUGACUCAUUUCCCACAAGUGUUAGAGCCCAGGCAUUUUGCUAAGUUUUUAAAAAAUGUAGAUAUGUUCAAGGAAUUUAUUUUCCACCAAGAGAGACAACCCCAAAUAGGUAGCCAUUAGAAAUAUAAAGUAACCGGUCAGGCAGAGCAGUUGAAAGACAUAG